ensembl:lncRNA
GUUGAAGGGGCCCAGUGACCACAGGAGAGAUGAAGGGGCCCAGGGCCCAGUGACCACAGGAGAGAUGAAGGGACCACAGGAGAGAUGAAGGGACUACAGGAGAGUUGAAGGGACCACAGGAGAGUUGAAGGGGCCCAGUGACCACAGGAGAGUUGAAGGGACCCAGUGACCACAGGAGAGUUGAAGGGGCCCAGUGACCACAGGAGAGUUGAAGGGGCCCAGUGACCACAGGAGAGUUGAAGGGGCCCAGUGACCACAGGAGAGUUGAAGGGACCACAGGAGAGUUGAAGGGACCCAGUGACUAAGGGGCCCAGUGACCACAGGAGAGUUGAAGGGACCACAGGAGAGAUGAAGGGGCCCAGUGACCACAGGAGAGAUGAAGGGACCACAGGAGAGAUGAAGGUUGAAGGGGCCCAGUGACCACAGGAGAGAUGAAGGGGCCCAGUGACCACAGGAGAGUUGAAGGGGCCCAGUGACUACAGGAGAGAUGAAGGGGCCCAGUGACUACAGGAGAGUUGAAGGGACCACAGGAGAGAUGAAGGGGCCACAGGAGAGUUGAAGGGACCACAGGAGAGUUGAAGGUUGAAGGGGCCCAGUGACUACAGGAGAGAUGCAGUUAGGACAUGCUGAAGAGGAAGUCCACGCGUAAAUAUCACAUGGGUAGAAGCCGUGGAUAGGUGAUCGGUUUGGCUUUACACUGCCUAUAAACACUGCAGGAGCAGGAUCCCAUUGAUUGAUUGAUUGAUUGAUUCGUGGGUCUGCGGAUCACUUUUUAUUAUUAAUAAUCAAACAAUAAUAAUUUAUUUAAAUGUAUUAUUAUUCAGCACUUAGUACAAUAGCCUUGUAACAAAGGGCUUUUAUUUUUACGCAAAUUAAAAUGAACUAUUCUGCAUUUCAAGAGCUGAUCUGCAUUGGUGUGUAUGUAGUUCAUAAACAAGCUAGAUACUGGUUAGUCAGCUGAAUAAUGAAGAAAGAAUGAAAACAAGAGGAGGAAGUUCUUCAAAAAAAGGGUUCUUUAUUACUCCACAGCCCACGAGGAAGAGUAAUACAUUCAGAGAGUUCUAAAGCGCCAACAGACUUCUUUGGCUCCGGCAAUGAUUGACAUAUCAUGACACGACAGGAAUCACCACACACACA